ensembl:snRNA U6 U6 spliceosomal RNA
GGGCUCACUUGGGCAGCACAUACACUAAAAUUGGACUGAUACAGAGAAAAUUAGCAUGGCCCCUGUGCAAGGGUGACAUGCAAUUCGUGAAGCAUUCUAUAUUUAA